CAGGAUUUGUGCUUCCUCAUCUCUCUGCUCCUAACAAUGCUGAUACCUGGACACCCUCCCAAACAUGAUCUGACUAUGGCCAAGCUCCCCAGUCUCUGAGAAAGCUACGAAAGAAAGGGCUCUCUCGCCAGCCUGCUCCUGUCAUGGGCACCUUAUCACAGCAACAGGAAGGGAAACCAAGACACUGGGUAAGGACAGCCUGUGGCAGGACGCGCAGAGAAGGCAAUCCCAGAGCACUCUUCGAGGUGUAAGAGCAGCAUGCUUCCGCAUAAGAAGAGACACUACUUGUCCUUUACGUGUCCUUAAGGGUACACUGGAGCUUGUGAGGUCGAUGGAAGGAAAACUACUUGGAUUCCAUAUUAAGUGCCCAGGAUUUAAAUUGAUACUAAAAUUCAUUUAGCUACCAUUAAAAAUCACUGGCUAUUCGCCAGGGCAGUGAUGGAACAUGCCUUUAAGCCCAGCACUUGAGAGACAGAGGCAGGCUGAUCUCUGAAUUCCAGGCCAGCCUAAUCUACAGAGUGAGUUCUAGGACAGCCAGGGCUACACAGAGAGACCCUGUCUGGGUGUGGGAGAGAGGAGCAGUGGCUGUCAUUUAUACUCAAACCACACUCCCCUACCAACUUGCUGCUAAAACUAGCUCGUUUACCAAAAAACAAAAACAAACCAACCAACAAACAAAACAAAAAACAA
rnacentral:lncRNA from 1 species